rnacentral:rRNA from 1 species
AUGGAUUUGAAAAGAGGUGUCUCGACCAUUAGUUCAUCAGAAUUACUACCAGGUUCCGGGUCACAACAGAGUACUGACAGGGUUGGUCAUCGCUCCCUGGUUCUGGUUGUAUUUAUUGGUGGUGUAACAUCUACUGAGAUUGCUGCGCUUCGAUUUCUUAGUGCACAGGAAGGAAUGAGCUAUGACUUCCUGGUUGCAACAACAAAGGUUAUCACUGGCAACACAUUACUGAGACCAAUUAUAGCCAGCAGCAAAGAGGGAAUGAUUUAG